AUACUCUGCAGCAUAGGCAGCUUGGCUUUCCCUUGCCACAUGUGCAGGGUCUUGGGGCCAAAACUAUCUCAACCUGUUCUCAAACUCUAAUGGGAUGGAGCCAGGUGUGGAAUGUGAGUGCCUAGUGGGCCACUUGGUAAGCAGAACUGGUGCUGUGGGAUGAUCCGAACACCGGGUUAAGGUACCCCUGUACCGAUGUUCAUCAAACCCCAGAAAAAGGUGUUGGUCGAUAUAGACAGCAGGAUGGUUGCCUUGGACACUGGAAUCCACUAAGGAGUGUGUAACAACUCCCCUGCCAAAUCACAUGCCCUGCAAAUAGAUGGCUCUGGAGCUUCAGGCCCCUACCAGCCAUCACCAGUGA
rfam:Alligator mississippiensis ScZkoYb_152, whole genome shotgun sequence.